UACGGGGGGGGCAAGCGUUGUUCGGAAUUACUGGGCGUAAAGGGCUCGUAGGCGGCCAACUAGGUCAAACGUGAAAUCCCUCGGCUUAACCGGGGAACUGCGUCUGAUACUGGAUGGCUUGAGUUUGGGAGAGGGAUGCGGAAUUCCAGGUGUAGCGGUGAAAUGCGCAGAUAUCAGGAGGAACACCGGUGGCGAAGGCGGUUCUCUGGGCAUGUCCUGACGCUGAGGAGCGAAAGUGUGGGGAGCGAACAGG
rnacentral:rRNA from 1 species